GAUGAACGCUAGCGACAGGCCUAACACAUGCAAGUCGAGGGGCAGCGGAGAGGUAGCAAUACCUUUGCCGGCGACCGGCGCACGGGUGAGUAACACGUAUGCAAUCCACCUGUAACAGGGGGAUAACCCGGAGAAAUCCGGACUAAUACCCCAUAAUAUGGGCGCUCCGCAUGGAGGGUCCAUUAAAGAGAGCAAUUUUGGUUACAGACGAGCAUGCGCUCCAUUAGCCAGUUGGCGGGGUAACGGCCCACCAAAGCGACGAUGGAUAGGGGUUCUGAGAGGAAGGUCCCCCACAUUGGAACUGAGACACGGUCCAAACUCCUACGGGAGGCAGCAGUGGGGAAUCUUCCGCAAUGGGCGAAAGCCUGACGGAGCAACGCCGCGUGAGUGAUGACGGCCUCGGUGUU
rnacentral:rRNA from 1 species